UUUUUGUAUAUCCCUUAUAUCCAGAAUCGAUUAUACAUAACUAUUUUUAUAUACAGAAAAAUACCUAAUCUGAAAAAUCGAUCGAUCAUACAGAUUUUGAUAAUUGAUUUUGUAUAUCUCCGUUCUCAAAGAGGAGUGUUUUUCUAGUAUAUCACGAUCAUAUUUCUUUAUUUUUUAACACAGAUUUUGAAAAAAUUUACUUCUUGGCUCUUGCAAAAAGAAAGUUAAGAUGAAUCAACAUCAUUUACAAAAUAUUCCCUUGUCAUCAAUCGUUUAAUGAAUCCAAAUUAUACGAAGAAUGUUUUUGGUACAAUCUUGAUUUUUUAUAAAUGCUUGAUUUUUUACUAACAUUUUGGAUAUCAACAUAACUUUGAUGUACUGUCUUGCUUGACCAGGUCAAAGACAUUACAGAUCUAGGUAUACGGAACGGAUAGACAGCUUAGAGGGAUAGACAUCUUAGAGGUAUUUGUUUAUUUCUGUAUUUUAUCUUUCGAUCAUGGUCUGUAUUUUAUCGUUCUGUAUUUUAUUAGGGUUUUAUUUAUUUAUUGUCAUGAUUGAUUUUUUUUAUGGUUUGAUUUGUUGUUUUUAUCAUGGAUUCUUAGAUCAACCUUGUUUUCAUGAUUUGAUGUUAAUAAAUAUUCAAAAUAAAUGUUUAUUUAGAACUCUUGUUUUCAUGUUUAUAUUCCUUACAUUUUCAUAUUUAUUAUUUUUGUAUAAGUUUUUUGAAUCUUUAUUUUAAUACCUUUUUCAUUUAAAUAUUGAUUUUUAAAAUGUGUCUUUUUUGUAUGUUAGGAGAUAGACUAAAAUGGCUGAUCAAAUAGAGGGGCUUGACAAAUCAUAGUUGUUUGAAAGUUCAACCUCGUUUAAAUUUCAAAGUGGAUUGAAUAGUUUUUUAUAUUUUGCUGAAAUCUAUUCAAACCAUAAGAUGGAGCCUGGAUUAAAACUACCACGUCCUUGUUCAAAGUGUCACAAUGAUAGAUAUUAUGAUCGUAAGACCAUUAGUGAGCAUGUCUUACGCUUUAGUUUUGACGAUGCUUAUAGGUAUAAAACAUGGUAUAUGCAUGGAGAAUUGAUUCCAGGUUCGAGAGCAUAUAAAAAAGCAUCGAAACGCAAGAGACGUGAAAUAGUUUCUACUGCACCUCCUAUGAUAGUAGAAAAUGAGAUGACUCUUUUAGUAAAUGAAGCAAUAUAUGGUUGAUUCAACUAUUUAUCCUAAAGAUCACCCCGAACAAGGUAAAAGAUUUAAAGUAGAAUGGGAGCCA
rnacentral:lncRNA from 1 species